UACGGCCACGUCACGUUUAAAUUCCGGUUCCCAAACGAUCCCCGUGGUUAAGCAACGUCAAGCCUUGUUAAUACCUAGAUGAGUGACCGCUUGGGAAUAUUAGGUACUGUA